CAUUCCUGUGCCGUGACUUCCCCUUCCCCUUCCCCUUCUGGCGCCCUCCUCCCAAAGGGCCUGAGAUCUCUCUUACGGCGGCCGGCGGGCCCUCCUUCAUCCGGGGUCAUCCACAGGCUCUGAGGGAGCGAGGGGCAGGGGACGAGCACGCAGCCCGCAGAUCCUCAAACUCACUCCAUUCUUCAAUUUUCUAAAGAAUUCCUCACGAGCCCCUCCUUGGGGUCAGCUCCUCCUAGACCAGGCCCAGCAGGCAGGGCUGCAGGAGGGGCUCACACUCCCAAGAGGCUCCGGGUCGUGUAGGGACAUCUUCCAACACAUAACCCAAACGCCGACGCCGACACCGAGGGCAGUUUCAGGGAGCAGAGGCGCUCACCACAGGACAACAGUCAAGAGGCAAGAGGCGGCAGCAAGGGAGCGCCGCGCCCCGGGACCCUGGAAGCCCGCCCGUCCCCGCCCCCCGCGGCCGCGACCUCAGCGCUCCCGGUGCGGUUCCCGGAAACUCCUCGAUUUCCCUGUGGCCUCCGCUUUUGCAAGAAACCGAAACCCAAGCCCCGCCCCUCCGGCGCGGCCUCGCGGGACCCGGCUGCUCUCAGCAGGGUGAGGGCACCCGCGCCCCCGGCCCCGGUGGACCCGGCAGACCAAGCCGCGUGCGCGCAGGGCCGGGGAGCUCGGACCCCAGCGGGCUGCAUCUCCUAGAGGCUCAGACCCCCCGCGCCUCCCACGCGAGAGUCCCAAACCUAACCCGCGUCUCUCGGGUUGCAGGGGGCGGUGGAGCGCAGCGGCAGUGACCUAACGGGGCCUCGCCUGCAGCUUGGGAGGCGGCUCGCGGUGUACUGGCCACAUGGGGUGCGGAGUGUGGGGGCCCAGGAGCGUUUACAAAGAGCUGCCCCCUGCCCACCCCGCGUUGCUAGUUUCGCGGCGGCGGCGUGUCUUGGGCGCAGAGGUGUCUGGCGACCUGCCCGGGGUCACACAGCCUGCAGCUGGAGGCCGCGCACGCCCUGGCCGCAGCGGGAGGCGGGGCGCCCAGGCCACCCGCAGGGCGAGCCUCGUGCACCCCAACUCUCCCAAGUCUGAUUUCUGAGAGCAUUUCCUGUUCCGCACACACGUCAGUCAGCAGAUGAUCUGCCUGGAGGUUACC
rnacentral:lncRNA from 1 species